UGCUGUUGUCCUGCUGAGAGCUGAAACAUUACAGAGACUCAACAGGUACAGGGAGUUGACCCGUUACCUGAAGGUGGUUCAUAGUGGGAACACAGAACUUCUCCAGGCGGUGCGGGAUCUGAUCCCUCUCUUCCUGAUGAAGGCCGGGGACUUUAGCUCCGCCCUCUCCUCCUUCUUCUAUCCGCCCCCUGGGGUCUGCUGCCCCGUCUGCCGCCUAACGCCACGCCUCUUCACCCUCUACCUACGCAUCAUCACCACGGCAACCGCGCCCAGCGCCACCGCUGCCAUUGCAACGCAGCCCCUC